CCUGAGAAACCCGAAAGAUCGAAUGGGGAGAUUCACCGUCAGCGACGUCGGCUUCUCGGCGGUUCGCGAUGCGCGCGGCGUCCAUCCGGGCGUCCGCGUCGCACGCGUCCGCCGUGUCAUAAUUUUUUUUAUGUCCAUGCUCGGCGGCGUCGGCGUGCACUUCUCCCCUAGUAGGACGUCGCGACCCGUUGGGUGUCGGUCUACGGCCCGGGCUGUCGCCUGUCCCGUCGCUUCGGCGUCGCGGGGCAGACACCCGGUGUUGCCCGGCCGGCUGCCCGGCGGUACUCGCACGGUAUCUGGCCGCAUUCGAACUGCGUCGCUCAGGCCCGCCGCAAGCGCGGUCAGUGUAUACCCGGAGGUGCGGACCAAGCGCCGUCCCCGGGCCUGGCCCGCUGUUCGCCGGCGGUGUCCUCUGACAGGCCGUACGUCGCGCAAGCGACGUGGGAUACCGGUCGGCGACGCUACUGCUUUGGGUACUUUCAGG
rnacentral:rRNA from 1 species